UGAGGAAUAUUGGUCAAUGGACGCAAGUCUGAACCAGCCAAGUAGCGUGCAGGAUGACGGCCCUAUGGGUUGUAAACUGCUUUUAUAUGGGGAUAAAGUGGGGAACGUGUUCCCUUUUGCAGGUACCAUAUGAAUAAGGACCGGCUAAUUCCGUGCCAGCAGCCGCGGUAAUACGUAUGGGGCGAGCGUUGUCCGGAAUUAUUGGGCGUAAAGGGUACGUAGGCGGUCUAUUAAGUCAGGUGUGAAAGCGUGAGGCUUAACCUCAUUAAGCACUUGAAACUGAUAGACUUGAGUGAAGGAGAGGAAAGUGGAAUUCCUAGUGUAGCGGUGAAAUGCGUAGAUAUUAGGAGGAAUACCUGUGGCGAAGGCGACUUACUGGACACAAAUCUGACGCUGAGGAACGAAAGCGUGGGUAGCAAACAGG
rnacentral:rRNA from 1 species